CAUCACUACGCUAGAUGCAUAUCAAUAAGCGGAGGAAAAGAAACUAACUAGGAUUCCCUUAGUAACGGCGAGUGAAGCGGGAAGAGCUCAAAUUUGAAAUCUUCAAGGGUUCUACCUUGACGAAUUGUAGUUUAUAAGAAGUGUUUUCUGUUAGUAGAGUGGCUAAAAGUUCUUUGGAAUAGGACAUCAUAGAGGGUGAGAAUCCCGUAUUUGGUCAUUCUUUCUAGCUGUCGUGAUACACUUUCAACGAGUCGGAUUGUUUGGGAAUGCAGUCCAAAAAAAUGGGUGGUAAAUUUCAUCUAAAGCUAAAUAUUGGCGAGAGACCGAUAGCGAACAAGUACCGUGAGGGAAAGAUGAAAAGAACUUUGAAAAGAGAGUUAAACAGUACGUGAAAUUGUCAAAAGGGAAGCGUUUGACACCAGUGUUGUUUAGUUGAAAAUCAAUUCAAUAGUUUUUGAUUCUAAGUAGUAUUGACUUCAUCAGCUUGCUGCUUUCUCCUCAGAAAUUAUUGAAUGCACUUUUCAGUUAACAAGUCAACAUCAAUUUCUUUUGUUGUAAAAGGGUAUGAGGAAGGUGGCUUUCUUUUCGGAGAAAGUGUUUAUAGCCUUGUGCCUCUGCAAUCGGAGAGAUUGAGGUCUGCAGCGUAGAUCCUUCGGGGUUAGAUACAUUUGUGCUAAGUUAUAGCUUUUCAUAGACAACUUGUUGACUAUGUUUAGUCUUGUAGCUUACUCGCUUAUGCUAUUUUACCUACGCUUAGGAUGUUGAAGAUAUGCGCGACACG
rnacentral:rRNA from 1 species